rnacentral:rRNA from 1 species
AUUGAACGCUGGCGGCAGGCCUAACACAUGCAAGUCGAGCGGAUGAAGGGAGCUUGCUCCUGGAUUCAGCGGCGGACGGGUGAGUAAUGCCUAGGAAUCUGCCUGGUAGUGGGGGAUAACGUCCGGAAACGGGCGCUAAUACCGCAUACGUCCUGAGGGAGAAAGUGGGGGAUCUUCGGACCUCACGCUAUCAGAUGAGCCUAGGUCGGAUUUGCUAGUUGGUGGGGUAAAGGCCUACCAAGGCGACGAUCCGUAACUGGUCUGAGAGGAUGAUCAGUCACACUGGAACUGAGACACGGUCCAGACUCCUACGGGAGGCAGCAGUGGGGAAUAUUGGACAAUGGGCGAAAGCCUGAUCCAGCCAUGCCGCGUGUGUGAAGAAGGUCUUCGGAUUGUAAAGCACUUUAAGUUGGGAGGAAGGGCAGUAAGUUAAUACCUUGCUGUUAUGACGUUACCAACAGAAUAAGCACCGGCUAACUUCGUG